rnacentral:misc_RNA from 1 species
AACGUAGCAAACUGCGAUAAGUAGUUUGAAUUGCAUUUAGUGAAUCAUCGAAUCUUUGAACGCACCUUGCACUCACUGGUAUUCCGGUGAGUACGCCUGUUUCAGUAUCAUUGAAAACACACAAUCAAAACAUUUUUUUUGGUUUGAUUGGCUUUGGGUCUAUCAAAAAGUUUGGCUUGUUUCUUACAAGCCAAGCGGCCUGAAAUAUAUUGUCUGGCUAAUUGUAUCGUUAAUGAUCGCUAUUAGACUUUGGCUUUUUUAAAUGAACUGGAGGUUGAUUAACCAGUUUUAGCUUUAGUCAAAUGGUCAUUGUAAAAAAAAAGCUCGAUCUUGGAUAGGUGUUUAUAGCCGAAAAUUUUUUUUUGGCUAUAACCGAAACCAAUAUAAUCACAUUUAGUUAUCGAUCUGAAAUCAGGUGGGACUACCCGCUGAACUUAAGC